rnacentral:rRNA from 1 species
GAUGAACGCUGGCGGCGUGCCUAAUACAUGCAAGUCGAGCGAACAGACGAGGAGCUUGCUCCUCUGACGUUAGCGGCGGACGGGUGAGUAACACGUGGAUAACCUACCUAUAAGACUGGGAUAACUUCGGGAAACCGGAGCUAAUACCGGAUAAUAUAUUGAACCGCAUGGUUCAAUAGUGAAAGACGGUUUUGCUGUCACUUAUAGAUGGAUCCGCGCCGCAUUAGCUAGUUGGUAAGGUAACGGCUUACCAAGGCGACGACGCGUAGCCGACCUGAGAGGGUGAUCGGCCACACGGGAACGGAGACACGGUCCAGACUCCUACGGGAGGCAGCAGUAGGGAAUCUUCCGCAAAGGGCGAAAGCCUGACGGAGCAACGCCGCGUGAGGGAUGAAGGUCUUCGGAUCGUAAAACUCUGUUAUUAGGGAAGAACAAAUGUGUAAGUAACUAUGCACGUCUUGACGGUACCUAAUCAGAAAGCCACGGCUAACUACGUG